rnacentral:sRNA from 1 species
UAGGCUUUAUUUUAUAGUGUCCCUAAAGUAGAUUAAAAAAUGAAUUCUGUGCAUUUAAUAUCUCAACUUGUGAGGAGCGUCCUACGAUUGUCACAGAAGGAUAACUAAAAUAAUACAUUUAAACAUAGCUAUAGACUUUGACAAACCUAAUUACAAAGGAUGUUUUUAUUGAAUGCCUUUAUUUUGUUCUGUAUGAAGUCACUGCAGAUUCAAAUGUGGCAAAUCGUUUUUAAAACCACAGUGACUGAUAUACGUUUGCAAGCCUUACAUUUACUUCUGACUUAUCUAUCUUCAAUUCUUCUGCUUUUACCUGGUCACCGUUUUGCUAGAUUUAGUCAAACUUGUUCUAUUUUAAGAAUCAAAGUAAUCUGCCACGAUCCUAAGGAAAAGUUUUUUUUUUGCAAGUUCAUUAAUUCAUGAAUGUACAACCUUUUGUUAACAAAAAAAAUGGCAUCUAGUACUGGUAUCCCAACAGAAAUAAGUUUUUGCUGUUUUACCUUUUUUUGGUCCUUUCUGUAUCUGUUCCAUUGGCCUCUAGUUUGAUGCAAGUUUUUAAAUGUAAAUUCUACUUAUAAGGUUUUUGACUAUGGUCAUGUUUUUAUAUUAACACAAAGAUAUUUCCCCUUUGCAUUACCUUUUGUUUUCCCAAAUAUCCAUCAUACUAUUCCAAAGUUCAAUAAAAGAACUGAGUGUAAAUCUA